UCUGACAUGAUAAGUGGCACAAAAAAAGUUGGACAAAAUAAGUAUGGAGGGAGAAGAUAUUUUGGCGGAUUCUUCCCCAAAAAAGAUCGGAAUUUGAAUUUUGAACACAAAAUCUGAGGAUUUAAAAUAAAAAAAUUGAGUGAACAAAUUUUGAAUUCUUUGCAUUUCUCUCUUUCUCUUCUUUCUUUUUCGUGCGCUCUCUCCAUCUGAUUGAUGCAAAUGUGGAGUAAACAAAUGCACAGAUAUUAUCACCGGCAAGGAAGAAGGAGCUCGCGGUGAUGGAAGGAGUAACUGGAAGAGAAGAUAGAGAAUGGUGGUGGUCGGUGCUGCGGUUGGGAGAGCGUUUGACGAAGAAAAGAUAAGAACGCGACAGAAGCUUCGAGUCUGUUUCCUCUGGCGAGUAGCAGAGAUGAACAACAACUAGUCAGAGGUGAUGGUGGCUGUUGAUACAGCGUCGAGUAGAAAGAACAGCGGCAACGGUGAGUGGUGUUGCAGCCAUCAGUGAAGAAGCAGCACCUGACAAUAAGUUGACGACAUUAAUAUAGAGAACGGAGAGCUCUGAGAUCCAGCCGUCGGUGGUGUUACAGAGGUUGAGGUUGGACUGGGAUGGGUUGGCAGAGGAGCUAAUGGUGGUACGGCUUAUUUGUAGUGAUUACGACGGCACUCCCUGCAGCAGCUUCGAAUCAUCUUUAGCUGGAGCAUAUAAGAUUGCUGAUGAAACUAAGUUCUUUUCAUUUGGAACUAAUGACCUUAAUCCAAAUGACAUUUGGGUAUAGUGGAGAUGAUGUUGAAAAAUUUCUUCCCAUUUACCUAUCAAGCGGCAUUCUGCAGAGUGAUCCAUUUGAGUACUUGACUAGAAAGGAGUAGGUCAACUCAUCAAGCUUUGCCCAGAAAAAGUCGUGUUGUCAGACCAAACUUAAAAGGGUGAAGUUGAAACGAUUCACAUUGUGCUUCUCAUAAGUGGACAAGGAAAGUGAGGCUCACAAAGUGGAAGAACAAUUGGAGAUAAAGCUGAUGACAUCACCAAAUGGUAGCCUAAUUCCUUGCAAUUCUUCACCAAUAGAAUGCACAACCAACACUAAAAUGUCUUCUUCUAGCACCUUCUACACCAACCUCAAGUUUUGCACCAAACCCAACAACAACAAAGCUGCUUCUUUGUCACAAGAAUAAUAAUAAUCAUAUAUCAUGAAGACAACAUCAAUAAGGCAAUAACAACAUCAACAGCAACUUGAAGUGAAGGGAACUCAUAUUGAGAAGCAGUAAAAUAGCAACCAUUGGUGCUAUCUUCAAUUUCAGCAGUGACAGUGAUUGCAAGUAGACGAUAGUUACUUGAAGUUUGUCUUAAGGCUUCUCUUAUUGAUAGUGUCUUAAGGUGGGAUGUCAAGGUUUUGGGGCUUAGUUUGGAGUUGGAGAGGAAGGGGAAGGAAAUUGGGCAGCUCACCAAGGAGGUGCUUCUUUGCGAUGAAGGUGGUGGACAUGGAUGCGGUGCGAAGUAUAUAUUCUAAGAAUAUGAGCCUGGGCCGGGUUGUUGCUAUGCUGUGUCGGAUGGGGCAUCCUCCUAGCUCGAAGAGGAAGCCAGGUUGUCCUCCGAAGGCUGUUUCUGCUGGUGGUCCGGCUGUUGUUGCUGUGGUGGCGACUCCUGUUCAUUGCUGUCUCUGAUCCUGUGGCUGCUGUGACUGCAUUGCGGCCCGCACCCAUGGUUCUGCCUGCCAUUCAUCACAACCAGAUCAGUCACCAUUGAAGGAUCCUUUGCAGAGAGAGAUGGAGAGAGUAUACCUGUUUGGGGAAGCUUUGCCUCCGUCACAUCCCAGCUCCCAUCUGUGCGUGGAGGAGAAGACCUGGAUACCUCCGUUAUGGUUAGCCUCCAAACUGCAGCGAAGACGACGGAGCCUCCAUCCUCUCAAGCAUCCAAAGACGUUCUUAUAGAAGAAGAGUGUUUGAAUGUGUAUCCCUUUUUUCGUUAAUGUUCCUGAGAUUCUCUUCAAUAGCCACCCUGAUUCAUCUCUCUCCCCUCAGUCUCUCUCCUUUACUCUCAUGGCCACCCUCUUCUCUUUUGAAUCCUUCUCUUUUUACUCUCUUUUCUGAUCUCCCUUGAUUAGAGAUUGAAAUUACCAUUAAAGUGUCUUCCCAAUUUGUGGGUAAGAGUGAUACAGAGCAGGACACUAUUCCAUAAGAGGUUGAUGAUUCAGGUGAAAAACCAAAGUUACAGUGUGCUACAACAUCUAUGGUGUGUUUGAUAAUGAGAAGCUUUACCAAAAGAGUUUGGUUCUGAGGAGAAGUGUGGUGGGUUCAUGAAGUGGAGGUGCUAGAUCAUGGAGAAGGGUAUUCAAAAGCUCAAUUUCAAGCUGGGUGGUGUCACGGUUGGAAUUUGUGGAGAAAACUUGUCCUGGGGAGGCUUACCCUUCAGAAGCAGCGCAAGCUGAGUUAUUUUGAGCCUACUUUUAAGUACUGUGGCACACCUGGAUGUCGUUUGUAUCUGUGGCACAAAACUUCAUAUAUGUUCUCUACAAAUCAAGAUCCCUAACAUUCUGAAUUUGGGCAUGUUCGAAAUGGCAAGUAGUACACGAGGCUCAGCCACUUCUAGCUGCCGUGGAGGGUGGUGAGAAUUUGGGUUUAAGUUCUAUAGGAGAUGUACCAAUUUUGCUUGCAAAGCCUCAAACAUACAUGAACUUUAGUGGUGAAUCGUGGCACACCUGGAUGUCGUUUGUAUCUGUGGCACAAAACUUCAUAUAUGUUCUCUACAAAUCAAGAUCCCUAACAUUCUGAAUUUGGGCAUGUUCGAAAUGGCAAGUAGUACACGAGGCUCAGCCACUUCUAACUGCUGCCGUGGAGCGUGAUUAACACUUGCAAUGGCUUCUAUUCUGAUUACUUCUCUCCAAAUAAGGCUUAUAAACCAAAGAUGUUGGCAGAAAAGCUAUCAUUUACUAACUUGAAAUAUUCGCACUCUAAUUUUAUUAUAAGAUCAUUCAUCAAAUUAAUGUGAUUGUUUAACAAGUUAAAUAUUUGGAUAGUCAACUAACUAGAGUAGCAAUACUAUUAAAUUAAAACAGAGGAUUAGUAUAAGACAUAACUUGUUCAUUUUAAUACAAGAUCCUCAAAGCCGUCCAUUUGUCUCUAUGUAAAAGCAUGUAAUUGGUUUAUUAUAUAUUAUUGAAGGAUUUAAAUUGCUGACUACUUAAUUAAUUAUCCAAAAACUAAGUGCCUAAUCGGCACAAAUAAACCUUUCUCAUGACAUGAAAAGCUUUUAUUUAACUAGCUACUAGUCUUGACCUUCUAGAGCAUAACCUAGGCUUUGCGUCACAAAUUUUCGUCCUAUAUGAAGGCAUAUACACACCUAAAUUAAUUGCAUUA